GAUGAACGCUGGCGGCGUGCCUAAUACAUGCAAGUCGAGCGAACGGACGAGAAGCUUGCUUCUCUGAUGUUAGCUGCGGACGGGUGAGUAACACGUGGAUAACCUACCUAUAAGACUGGGAUAACUUCGGGAAACCGUAGCUAAUACCGGAUAAUAUUUUGAACCGCAUGGUUCAAAAGUGAAAGACGGUCUUGCUGUCACUUAUAGAUGGAUCCGCUCUGCAUUAGCUAGUUGGUAAGGUAACGGCUUACCAAGGCAACGAUGCAUAGCCGACCUGAGAGGGGGAUCGGCCACACUGGAACUGAGAAACGGUCCAGACUCCUACGGGAGGCAGCAGUAGGGAAUCUUCCGAAAUGGGCGAAAGCCUGACGGAGAAACGCCGCGUGAGUGAUGAAGGUCUUCGGAUCGUAAAACUCUGUUAUUAGGGAAGAACAUAUGUGUAAGUAACUGUGCACAUCGUGACGGUACCUAAUCAGAAAGCCACGGCUAACUACGUG
rnacentral:rRNA from 1 species